GAAUAUCAUUUUAUUUUUAACCUCCAGGAACUUGAAGGAAGGAAAUAAACCUGGAAGACUCCAGCCUAGUCUGAAUUGAGCAGUCAUUAUCCUGUUCUAGUCAGUCACCUGCUAUGAUGGGGAGCACGACCCAUCAACCUAGCGGAUAGUAGGAAUUUUCAAGGAAGAGGCCAGAAAUUGGAAAUUUUUUGUAAAAUGUCCGAAUACUUAAAAGUUGGCAAAUGUAUCGAACCAGGGUUCUAUCCACUAAUAUAACAUAAAAUCCCAAACAAUAUUAGCAUAAAUUAGAAAUGUUUUCUUCAUUAAAGGUGGUUUAGAACUAAUCCAGCAGCCCCACAGAGAUCCGGGAUCCAGGUUCCUUCCGGUUUUGUGCUCUGUCAUUUUUUGCCCAUGAGGCUUCCUGACCCAGUACAGCUGAAAGAGCUCUAAUAUCCAACUCCCUGGCAGCAGGGUGGCGCGCUGUCUGUAAAAUGGAGACAUCUCCAAGGGAAGUACAUCUUCCAAGGGAAGUACCACAGAGCACCUCUGCUUACAUCUUAUUGGCCAGAUUUUAGCCCUCGGCUAACUGCAAAGCAAAUUGGGAAAUGUAGUCUUCAUGUCAGGGGCUUUCAGCAGAGAGACUAAAGGGAGAAAGACUAUUGAGGUCACCCACUAAGAGUCUAAAUUUUGGUAGCUGUAUCAGCAGUCAGUGUCAUCUGAAGAACCAGAACCCAUAGGAGACACACAGCAGAUCUGAACCUCUUAGGGUAGGCCGGCAAGUGGAAAUGCGAGUGAGAUUUUUGUAUCACAGUGUAGGCAGAAUUCUGCUCCAGACAACUUCAGAUUUUGCUGUCAAGAUAGUCACCCUGUUCAGUGAAGCCCACCCAUGUCGCAGAGGAUAACAUCAUUUAUUUCAAGUGAACAGAUUGUAGACGUCAACCACAUCUACAAAAUAUAUUCGCAGCGACACUUAGGUUAGUGUUUGAACAGAACACUGAGCUCCACAGCUUAGCCAAAUUGACCUAUAAAGUUUACCAGUAAACAUUUCUUAAAAGCUGUAGGAAGAUAAUACCUGUUUAUGAGCUGGGCUCGACUUGCAGGCUCCCAACGUGCAGUAUUUUCUCUAAAUGGUGGAGCAAGUACUUUGGGCCCCUAAAGGCUACAGCCUGAAAAUACCCUUCCCUUAUACCUGUUGUACAACUGGAGUCGCAUACCCGUAACAAGAACGCCGCUGUGAAGAUACAAAGUCCUACCCUUCCGGGAGACUACGCAUAAAUAGCAGUGACAUGUAGAGUUGGAAGUGAUCAUUCCUUUAAGAUAUUAAACUUAUCAAAGUUGAUACAAGAACAACCUUGAGAUGCUUGCCUGAUCUGGGAGGAGGGUUAUCAUUAGUGUUUCCGGAGGACCUAGUGCUUUUCGAGAUCCAAGAUGAGGAUGGUAGUAGUAUUUACCAAGAGUUUCCAAAGGGCUCCGAUUAUACUACCACACCUGGCUUGACUGUGGGUUUGACUAACAAAACAGCUUAUGACAAAAGUGACAGGACCUGAUUUCCACGUUGAGGUUGUGAAGAGAUUGUCUCCCUUCGUCCCUUGUUGGACAUCCUCGGUUUUCUCUGAUGGAAGCUGGUACCGCUGUGAGACUUGGCUUGAAAGGCCCAUGUGGCAGGGAACUGGGGAGGCCCUCAACCAAUGAGGAACUAAGGCCCUCAAUUGCCCGUUAAGAACAGAGGCCCGCUACCAGCCAGGGGCUGGGGAUUUAGCUCAGCGG